rnacentral:rRNA from 1 species
CCUACGGGAGACAGCAGUGAGGAAUAUUGGUCAAUGGUCGGAAGCCUGAACCAGCCAAGCCGCGUGAGGGAUGAAGGUACAGAGGAUCGUAAACCUCUUUUGUCAGGGAACAAAGGCGGGGACGUGUCCCCGGAUGAGUGUACCCGAAGAAAAAGCAUCGGCUAACUCCGUGCCAGCAGCCGCGGUAAUACGGAGGAUGCGAGCGUUAUCCGGAUUUAUUGGGUUUAAAGGGUGCGUAGGCGGUCUGUUAAGUCAGCGGUAAAAGGCCGGGGCUCAACCCCGGCCCGCCGUUGAAACUGGCCGUCUUGAGUUGGAGAGAAGUAUGCGGAAUGCGGGGUGUAGCGGUGAAAUGCAUAG